UGAUUAUUGGGCCUAAAGCAUCCGUAGCCGGCUCUGUAAGUUUUCGGUUAAAUCUGUACGCUCAACGUACAGGCUGCCGGGAAUACUGCAGAGCUAGGGAGUGGGAGAGGUAGACGGUACUCGGUAGGAAGGGGUAAAAUCCUUUGAUCUAUUGAUGACCACCUGUGGCGAAGGCGGUCUACCAGAACACGUCCGACGGUGAGGGAUGAAAGCUGGGGGAGCAAACCGGAUUAGAUACCCGGGUAGUCCCAGCUGUAAACUAUGCAAACUCAGUGAUGCAUUGACUUGUGGUCAAUGCAGUGCUGCAGGGAAGCCGUUAAGUUUGCCGCCUGGGAAGUACNUACGCAAGUAUGAAACUUAAAGGAAUUGGCGGGGGA
rnacentral:rRNA from 1 species